rnacentral:rRNA from 1 species
AACGAACGCUGGCGGCAGGCUUAACACAUGCAAGUCGAACGGCUGUAGCAAUACAGCAGUGGCAGACGGGUGAGUAACAUGUGGGAACCUUCCGUAGGGGUACGGAACAACUCAGGGAAACUUGAGCUAAUACCGUAUACGUCCGUAAGGAGAAAGAUUCAUCGCCCCUAGACGGGCCCGCGUCGGAUUAGGUAGUUGGUGGGGUAACGGCCUACCAAGCCUACGAUCCGUAGCUGAUCUGAGAGGAUGAUCAGCCACACUGGGACUGAGACACGGCCCAGACUCCUACGGGAGGCAGCAGGUGGGGAAUCUUGGACAAUGGGCGCAAGCCUGAUCCAGCCAUGCCGCGUGAGUGAAGAAGGCCUUAGGGUUGUAAAGCUCUUUUACCAGGGACGAUAAUGACGGUACCUGGAGAAUAAGCCCCGGCAAACUUCGUGCCAGCCGCCGCUGU